rnacentral:ncRNA from 1 species
CACAAGCAAAAAACAUAUAACCUAAUUGACUACAAGUUGAAUAAGCUAUUAUUUUGUUAAAAUCAUUUUGUACUAAACCUACCGUACUAGCAAAAAAAGCAGUUGAUGCCCCAAUUAUUGUAAUAAUUUAAGUCUUCAUGGCCCUUAUGAGUUGGGCUACACACGUGCUACAAUGAUAAUUACAAUGAGAGGCAAUAAUUUUAAAGUUGGAGCAAAUCUUUAAAAAUUAUCUUAGUUCGGAUUAAGGGCUGAAACUCGCCCUUAUGAAGCUGGAAUCGCUAGUAAUCGCAAAACAGCAUGUUGCGGUGAAUAUGUUAC